AAGAACGUUCGCGCGCCUCGAUCCGAAAUAAGAGCGCCGGUUCACGCGCUGCUCCGCAAAACCAGUAGUGACGUCGGAGUUUGUUGUUUGCGCACUUUUCUUUUUUAUUCCUUCGAAAAAACUGCAACGCUUGGCGAAAUCUCGAGAACAAUUGGACGAAAUGACUUGAAAAUGGUUUUCACGAGACAUUGUUCCAACAAGGGGCAUAUAUCCUUGUGAGCUAUGCUCAAGAGACUCAUGGAAUGUACAAUGGUAUCUGUAUCGAAACUUCCCACUACAAACAUUUCAGCGAUCUGACUGUGCUGUGGAAGGGCUGCUUGUACUAUAAUUCCAUGAUCACUUUUGCCUGGUUAUAUUUUAUUUGUCGACACCUGUAAUUUGCAUUACUACUCACAAUAGUGGAUGCUGUGACCAAACCAUACAUUGGUACACCUGCAUUUGCUAAAGCUAGACUAGCAGCCAUUAUUGCAGCAGCGAGUGCUGAUCCACCGUUGUCUAGGACUGUCGCGUAGAUGUCCACUUGGAAAUUAGGAAACUCGUUCUGAAAUAUAAUUAUGUACAUGUA